UUAAAUUCGACCCGUGUGAAAUUGCUUUUUUCAAUAAGAAUAAUAGAAGCUUGCAUUGUGAUGUUUCACUCGUUAAUCAAUUUUCUUUCUUAUCAGUGAUAUAUCGAAUCAUUCAAUGAAGAAAAAUUAUCAAGAAGUUCAAUUUUCCAACGAUUCAUAAGUAUUUUAACUGCAGUGUUUCGUACUUCUGCUCAUAUAAAAGACGAAGGUUUAAAUAAUUUUACAGUAUAAUAAUAGUAAUAUAGUAUAUUAAUCUUUUAUCAAAGGUAUGUUUGCAAUAAACAUCUUGUAAUUCCUAUGUGCAUCCCCAAUGUUUCAUUUUAUUAAUUAAAUUUUACUGUUUGAUACUCGCGAUAUGUUAUAAUGGUAAAAUAAUAUUUUAAAGAAUUUCGUAUAAAAUACAUAAUAUAUUCAUAUACAUUAUUUUAUGAUAAGUGUCCAGAUACUUUCGUGAGUUACUCUACAUGAUGUUGUACAUUUUGUGUCGAUAAAGUGAUGAAGUGAAAACAUCUAUUACUCAAAACGCAAAUGUAUUAUAUUAUGUAACAUAUAUAUAUAUAUACAUAAUACCUGGCGCGUAAAAUGUUUCAUUUGCAUUGGAAUGUAGUAAAACUUAAAAACAAAGUAUCUAAGAAAAGAGGUGUUUUCUCUCUUUAUGCGUUAUUCGUAUCUAUUUAAAAACAUAAUUUCCUUUAAUAAGAAAUUUGUCCCGCCUUUACGAGGAAUUUCUUGUCUAGAUUUUGAAUUUUCUAAAUUGAUUAGUCACAUCAUUUUCGUUCGUUAACUCUGUGGUGAUGGUGCAGACAGUGAAUAAGUAGAGUGAAAGUGUGAACGAUGCAUAGCUUAGCAGAAACACAUAUAGG